GAUUUGAGGUGGAAGUGUGAAGAAAUUUGGGGCUCAGUGGUAUGAGUGAGUUGGGAACGAGUCGAGUCGGAAUCGGUGAGAGCGAUUCGAUGGAAAAUGCAAAUAUGGGUUGCGUAGAAGGUUGAAAAGGGUGUCUCCGGAGCAACUUGAAGAGAGAAAUCAGUGAUUGUCUAUGCAUUUUUUGGGUCUUUGAAUUCAAUGUUUACAGAAU
rnacentral:misc_RNA from 1 species